rnacentral:rRNA from 1 species
AUACGGAGGGUGCAAGCGUUGUUCGGAAUUAUUGGGCGUAAAGAGCAUGUAGGCGGACUAUUAAGUCUGGUGUGAAAGCCCGGGGCUCAACCCCGGAAGUGCAUUGGAUACUGGUAGUCUUGAGUAUGGGAGAGGAAAGUGGAAUUCCGAGUGUAGGAGUGAAAUCCGUAGAUAUUCGGAGGAACACCAGUGGCGAAGGCGGCUUUCUGGACCAAUACUGACGCUGAGAUGCGGAAGCGUGGGGAGCGAACAGGAUUAGAAACCCCAGUAGUCC